rnacentral:rRNA from 1 species
UACGUAGGUGGCGAGCGUUGUCCGGAUUUACUGGGCGUAAAGAGCGCGCAGGCGGUCGGAUAAGUCGAAUGUGAAAGCCCCCGGCUCAACUGGGGAGGGUCAUUCGAUACUGUUCGACUCGAAGGCAGGAGAGGGAAGUGGAAUUCCCGGUGUAGUGGUGAAAUGCGUAGAUAUCGGGAGGAACACCAGUGGCGAAGGCGACUUCCUGGCCUGUUCUUGACGCUGAGGCGCGAAAGCUAGGGGAGCAAACGGG